rnacentral:tRNA from 1 species
GCCGAAGUAGCUCAGCUGGUAGAGCAACGGUUUCGUAAACCGUAGGUCGUGGGUUCAAGUCCCAUCUUCGGCUC